ensembl:lncRNA
CAUUUUAGAGCAUUUUGAAUCGUUAGAAGAUUAAGUCAAAUAUCGGCAAUUUCAAAGGGCCAUUACUAUGAAAAGCAAAAUCAGAAUGACUUGAUAUUGAUAUGGUAACAUCGUGAGGUUGUAUACUGUUGAUCUAAAGUGGAAUUACCCUGUGGAAACAGGAAUUUUCCAUUUUAGAGCAUUUUGAAAUCACUGAAAGGUAGGUCAACUAUGGACAAUUUGAAAAGUCUUUUAUUUUGGAAGGCAUAAUCAGAAUGACUUGAUAUUGAUAUGGUGUCACUGUGGGGCUGUAUACUGUAAAUACAGAGUGGAAUUACCCUGUGGAAACAGGAAUUUUCCAUUUUAGAGCAUUUUGAAAUCACUGAAAGUUAGGUCAAUUGUGGACAAUUUGAAAGGGCUUUUAUUUUUGAAAGCAAAAUCAGAAUGACUUGAUAUUGAUAUGGUAUCACUGUGAGGUUGUAUACUAUUGAUCUAAAGUGGAAUUACCCUGUGGAAACAAGAAUUUUUCAUUUUAGAGCAUUUUGAAAUCACUGAAAGUUAGGUCAAUUAUGGACAAUUUGAAAAGGCUUUUAUUUUUGAAAGCAAAAUCAGAAUGACUUGAUAUUGAUAUGGUAUCACUGUGGGGCUGUAUACUGUAAAUACAGAGUGGAAUUAUCCUGUGGAAACAGGAAUUUUCCAUUUUAGAGCAUUUUGAAAUCACUGAAAGUUAGGUCAAUUGUGGACAAUUUGAAAGGGCUUUUAUUUUUGAAAGCAAAAUCAGAAUGACUUGAUAUUGAUAUGGUAUCACUGUGAGGUUGUAUACUAUUGAUCUAAAGUGGAAUUACCCUGUGGAAACAAGAAUUUUUCAUUUUAGAGCAUUUUGAAAUCACUGAAAGUUAGGUCAAUUAUGGACAAUUUGAAAAGGCUUUUAUUUUUGAAAGCAAAAUCAGAAUGACUUGAUAUUGAUAUGGUAUCACUGUGGGGCUGUAUACUGUAAAUACAGAGUGGAAUUAUCCUGUGGAAACAGGAAUUUUCCAUUUUAGAGCAUUUUGAAAUCACUGAAAGUUAGGUCAAUUGUGGACAAUUUGAAAGGGCUUUUAUUUUUGAAAACAAAAUCAGAAUGACUUGAUAUUGAUAUGGUAUCACUGUGGGGUUGUAUACUGUUGAUCUAAGGUGGAAUUACCCUGUGGAAACAGGAAUUUUCCAUUUUAGAGCAUUUUGAAAUCACUGAAAGGUAGGUCAACUAUGGACAAUUUGAAAAGUCUUUUAUUUUGGAAGGCAUAAUCAGAAUGACUUGAUAUUGAUAUGGUGUCACUGUGGGGUUGUAUACUGUUGAUCUAAGGUGGAAUUACCCUGUGGAAACAGGAAUUUUUCAUUUUAGAGCAUUUUGAAAUCACUGAAAGUUAGGUCAAUUAUGGACAAUUUGAAAGGGCUUUUAUUUUUGAAAGCAAAAUCAGAAUGACUUGAUAUUGAUAUGGUAUCACUGCGGGGUUGUAUACUGUUGAUCUAAAGUGGAAUUACCCUGUGGAAACAGGAAUUUUUCAUUUUAGAGCAUUUUGAAUCGUUAGGAGAUUAAGUCAAAUAUCGGCA